AAAUCCUACCCCCGCUACCAAGAUUCGCAGUACAGUGGUAUUGUUCUUUACCAACCGAGUGGAGAUGUGUGGGGUUUAGGCCCAGGGGUAUUAUUGGUGUUUAUGCACUGGUGAUUACCCUGAGCAGUAUUGUUUUAAAAAUGGAUUGAACGAGAGAGUUUGAUCCUGGCUCAGAUUGAACGCUGGCGGCAUGCCUAACACAUGCAAGUCGAACGGUAGCAGGCCUUCGGGUGCUGACGAGUGGCGGACGGGUGAGUAAUGCGUAGGAAUCUGUCUUUUAGUGGGGGACAACCCAGGGAAACUUGGGCUAAUACCGCAUGAGCCCUGAGGGGGAAAGCGGGGGAUCUUCGGACCUCGCGCUAAGAGAAGAGCCUACGUCUG
rnacentral:rRNA from 1 species